UGCACUUAUGACACCUAUGGGGAGUUCACUAGCGCUCAACGCUAGAGUUCGCCAGGAGCCGUGGAGGGAGUUCACCUUGAAGCGCAGCACCCACAGGUCGUGGGUACUAUUCUGAUUCUCGAGGAAAAACUCUGCAAAAAGCUGGAAACAAAAGUUUAGUCAAGAAACUCCAAAAGUUCACUAUGUGAAGCGUUGAAGCCCACUCUGAAAAAAGAACGGAAAAGUGGAAGAGUUCGAGUAAACUCAGGAGUCAAAACAUUGCAAUUUUAUUCUACUAUUAUGGUUAGUAGCUGAUUUCAUCCGGGAAGUUCACCGUGCCCCCAUCGGGAGUCCACCGUGCUCAGAGCUCGCGUGUUGCCCCUGCGUACGCCAGAGUCCUGCCCCCUUGCUGGAAGUGCAGAUCAAUUAUUUGACAGGAGUAGUGUGGCGGUGCAUACUCGUCUAGAUCUUGGUGUUGUUGAGCUGAGAAUGCAGUAGGCGUUGCUGUAGCAGCGCGAGGCCUUUCCAGCGGUACGUGUU